rnacentral:lncRNA from 1 species
CCAAAAUGGUCAGUUGACCCGUUUAGGAGUUAUUGCCCUUUAUAGUCAAUUUUUAACCAUUUUUCGUAAAUUAAAGUAAUCUUUUACAAAAAUCUUCUCCUCUGAAACUACUGGGCCAAAUUAAUCCAAACUUGGCCACAAUCAUCUUUGGGGUAUCUAGUUUAAAAAAUGUGUGGCGUGACCUGGUCAACCAACCAAGAUGGCCGCCACCGCUAAAAAUAGAACAUAGGGUAAAAUGCAGUUUUUGGCUUAUAACUCAAAAACCAAAGCAUUUUGAGGAAAUCUGACAUGGGGAUAAAAAUGUUUAUCAGGUCAAGAUCUAUCUGCCCUGAAAUUUUCAGAUGAAUCGGUCAAUCGGUUGGGUUGCUGCCCCUGAAUUGGGAAUUUUGAGGAAAUUUUGCUGUUUUGGUUAUUAUCUUGAAUAUUAUUAUAGAUAGAGAUGAAUUGUAAACAGCAAUAAUGUUCAGCAAAGGAAGAUCUACAAAUAAGUCAACAUGACCAAAAUGGUCAGUUGACCCCUUUAGGAGUUAUUGCCCUUUAUAGUCAAUCUUUAACCAUUUUUCAUAAAUCUAAGUAAUCUUUUACAAAAUCUCCACUGAAACUACUAGGCCACAAUCAUCUUUGGGGUAUCUAGUUUAAAAAAUGUGUCCGUGUCCAUUCAACCAAGAUGGCCGCCACGGCUAAAAAUAGAACAUAGGGGUAAAAUGCAGUUUUUGGCUUAUAACUAUGAAACCAAAGCAUCUAGAGCAAAUCUGACAAGAAGUUUAAUUGUUAAUCAAGUCAAUAUCUAUCUGCCCUGAAUUUUUCUGAUGAAUUGGACAACUGGUUGUUGGGUUGCUGCCCUCCAAUUGGUAAUUUUUAAAGAAAUUUUGCCGUUUUUGGUUAUCUUGAAUACUAUUAUAGAUAGCGAUAAACUGUAAACAGCAAUAAUGUUCAGCAAAGUAAGAUCUACAAAUAAGUCAACAUGACCUAAAUGGUCAAUUGACCCCUUAAGGAGUUAUUGCCCUUUAUAGUCAAUUUUUAACAAUUUUCAUUAAUUUGGUAAAUUUAUGUAAAUUUUUACCAAAUAUAGUUCUCUGUUACUAAUGGGCAAAGUUCAUUAUAGAUAUAAUUGUAAGAAGCAAAAUCGUUCAGUAAAGAAAGAACUUCAAACACAUCACCAUCACCAAAAUACAAUUUUGUCAUGAAUCCAUUUGUGUCCUUUGUUUAAUAUGCACAUAGACCAAGG